rnacentral:rRNA from 1 species
UACGUAGGCAGCAAGCGUUGUUCGGAGUUACUGGGCGUAAAGAGUGCGUAGGUGGUGCCCUAAGUCUGUUGUGAAAUCUCCCGGCUUAACUGGGAGGGUGCGGUGGAAACUGGGGUGCUUGAGUGUGGGAGAGGUAAGCGGAAUUCCUGGUGUAGCGGUGAAAUGCGUAGAUAUCAGGAGGAACACCGGUGGUGUAGACGGCUUACUGGACCACGCUGACACUGAGGCACGAAAGCGUGGGUAGCAAACAGG